GGGAUGGCUCAGUGGUUAAGAGCACUGGCUGCUCUUCCAGAGGACCCGGGUUCAAAUCCCAGCACCCA
rnacentral:tRNA from 1 species